CCUACGGGUGGCAGCAGUGAGGAAUAUUGGUCAAUGGGCGGGAGCCUGAACCAGCCAAGUCGCGUGAGGGACGACGGUCCUAUGGAUUGUAAACCUCUUUUGUCGGGGAACAAAGGCGCCCACGGGUGGGCGGAUGAGUGUACCCGAAGAAAAAGCAUCGGCUAACUCCGUGCCAGCAGCCGCGGUAAUACGGAGGAUGCGAGCGUUAUCCGGAUUUAUUGGGCGUAAAACGAGCGCAGGCGGGUUAACAAGUUUGGUAUGAAAGGCUUUUGCUUAACGAAAGUUUGUAUCAAAAACUGUUAAUCGAGAGUGUAGUAGAGAGUUCUGGAAUUCCAUGUGGAGCGGUGGAAUGCGUAGAUAUAUGGAAGAACACCAGUGGCGAAGGCGAGAACUUAGACUAUCACUGACGCUUAGGCUCGAAAGUGUGGGGAGCAAAUAGGAUUAGAUACCCUUGUAGUC
rnacentral:rRNA from 1 species